AUUGCAUAUGCUGUUUGGAAGACUCGCUAGCUUUUUGCAUCCGUCGAGAUAAAGAUAUUCAAGGCAUCUCAAUUCCCCUAAGCUACUUGGCAGACGAGCUAGUUUUGAGCAACCAUUGAAAGAAAGACUUACAAGAUUCGUCAUAUAAAUGCAGCUUGGAAAAUGGCAGAGUUUUCUGCAGUCCCCAAGAUAUAGAUUUGUAAUCUUGCUGUCAUACUUAGUAGACGAAGAAACUUCAAUCAAACUUGUACAGCCUCUCAAAAAUGUAACCUCAAGUUCUGGGAAUUUUGACAGGUCUGGAAUUUUUAUCAGUUGUUCCGAGUUGCUGAGGUCCAUA
rnacentral:misc_RNA from 1 species